rnacentral:rRNA from 1 species
GACGAACGCUGGCGGCGUGCUUAACACAUGCAAGUCGAACGGUGAAGCGCCUUCCUUUUUGGUGGGUGUGGAUGAGUGGCGAACGGGUGAGUAACACGUGAGUAACCUGCCCCCUUCUUCUGGAUAACCGCAUGAAAGUGUGGCUAAUACGGGAUAUUCUGGGUCUGUCGCAUGAUGGGUCUGGGAAAGAUAUUGUUUCGGUGGGGGAUGGGCUCGCGGCCUAUCAGCUUGUUGGUGGGGUGAUGGCCUACCAAGGCGGUGACGGGUAGCCGGCCUGAGAGGGUGGACGGUCACACUGGGACUGAGACACGGCCCAGACCCCUACGGGAGGCAGCAGUGGGGAAUAUUGCACAAUGGGCGCAAGCCUGAUGCAGCGAUGCCGCGUGAGGGAUGGAGGCCUUCGGGUUGUGAACCUCUUUCGCCAGUGAAGCAGGCCUGCCUCGUUUGUGGGUGGGUUGACGGUAGCUGGAUAAGAAGCGCCGGCUAACUACGUG